GUCUAUUGUUAUGAGGCUGUAUACGAUGCGCGUUGAACUAGCGCCAAACUUUUUACCGAAACUUUGAUAUAAAUAGCACUAUUAACGUUCAUUUGUGUUGCAUUUUGACCUAUUAUCCAAGUGAUUUACUUUUCCAUUAUUAUUUAAUCACCCUAUCAUCCAAUUUUUAAGAUGAAAUUACGGUGUUUACAAAACCAACCAAACCGAAAGUGAAACUGGAUGCAUUACGUUUCGCGAUGUAAACAUUAAAUAUUUGUUCAGUUUGAGGAAGCGAAUCGAUAAUAGACGUUGAAAUAUGUAUGCAAUACAGACUAUCAUUGCCGAUUGUAGUACUGGCUAAAAAAUACCUUUUAUGACAGGUAUACUGGAUUAUGAAAGACUGAUAAACAUAAAAUUGACAACUCAUCUCCCCAACGAUACUUUGUGUGGCUCAUUCUCGGAACAAACCCAUAGUCAGUGAGAAAACUACAGUGUAAAAAGACCACUUGAUUGUGACAAUUAUGGCUGACCAAGCAAAUGUUAUCAUUUAAAAUAAAGAAAACUUCCAGUUCAAUA